GGGGGAUAUUGCGCAAUGGGGGCAACCCUGACGCAGCAACGCCGCGUGAAGGAUGAAGGUUUUCGGAUUGUAAACUUCUUUUAUUAAGGACGAAAAAUGACGGUACUUAAUGAAUAAGCUCCGGCUAACUACGUGCCAGCAGCCGCGGUAAUACGUAGGGAGCAAGCGUUGUCCGGAUUUACUGGGUGUAAAGGGUGCGUAGGCGGCUUUGCAAGUCAGAUGUGAAAUCUAUGGGCUCAACCCAUAAACUGCAUUUGAAACUGUAGAGCUUGAGUGAAGUAGAGGCAGGCGGAAUUCCCCGUGUAGCGGUGAAAUGCGUAGAGAUGGGGAGGAACACCAGUGGCGAAGGCGGCCUGCUGGGCUUUAACUGACGCUGAGGCACGAAAGCGUGGGUAGCAAACAGGAUUAGAUAUCCUGGUAGUCCACGCUGUAAACGAUGAUUACUAGGUGUGGGGGGUCUGACCCCUUCCGUGCCGGAGUUAACACAAUAAGUAAUCCACCUGGGGAGUACGGCCGCAAGGUUGAAACUCAAAGGAAUUGACGGGGGCCCGCACAAGCAGUGGAGUAUGUGGUUUAAUUCGAAGCAACGCGAAGAACCUUACCAGGUCUUGACAUCCAACUAACGAAGUAGAGAUACAUUAGGUGCCCUUCGGGGAAAGUUGAGACAGGUGGUGCAUGGUUGUCGUCAGCUCGUGUCGUGAGAUGUUGGGUUAAGUCCCGCAACGAGCGCAACCCUUGCUAUUAGUUGCUACGCAAGAGCACUCUAAUAGGACUGCCGUUGACAAAACGGAGGAAGGUGGGGACGACGUCAAAUCAUCAUGCCCCUUAUGACCUGGGCUACACACGUACUACAAUGGAUGUUAACAGAGGGAAGCAAGACAGCGAUAUGGAGCAAACCCCUAAAAACAUUCUCAGUUCAGAUUGCAGGCUGCAACCCGCCUGCAUGAAGAUGGAAUUGCUAGUAAUCGCGGAUCAGCAUGCCGCGGUGAAUACGUUCCCG
rnacentral:rRNA from 1 species